UACGAAGGGUGCAAGCGUUACUCGGAAUUACUGGGCGUAAAGCGUGCGUAGGUGGUUUGUUAAGUCUGAUGUGAAAGCCCUGGGCUCAACCUGGGAAUUGCAUUGGAUACUGGCAGGCUAGAGUGCGGUAGAGGGUAGUGGAAUUCCCGGUGUAGCAGUGAAAUGCGUAGAGAUCGGGAGGAACACCAGUGGCGGAGGCGACUACCUGGCCUGUUCUUGACGCUGAGGCGCGAAAGCUAGGGGAGCAAACGGG
rnacentral:rRNA from 1 species